rnacentral:rRNA from 1 species
UACAGAGGUCUCGAGCGUUGUUCGGAUUCAUUGGGCGUAAAGGGCGCGUAGGCGGCGGGGCAAGUCGGGUGUGAAAUCUCAGAGCUCAACUCUGAAACUGCACUCGAUACUGCUUUGCUUGAGGACUGGAGAGGAGAUUGGAAUUCACGGUGUAGCAGUGAAAUGCGUAGAUAUCGUGAGGAAGACCAGUGGCGAAGGCGGAGCUCUGGACAGUUCCUGACGCUGAGGCGCGAAGGCCAGGGGAGCAAACGGG